CCAUGUGAAGACUCAUUUAUGGGAAAAGCAAUCAUUUAUGGGAAAGCAUUGAGCAAUUCUAAUCACUAUAUGUAUGCUGAAUUUUAUUGUUACCCACACCUUUGAUGUAUUUCACUUUGUGCUCAGCCGUGUAUCUGUAACAGACUUCCAGGGAAAACAAGGGUUUCCCUCUGACAAGCCAAGAUUCUUUAUUUAUAGUGCUAGGCUGGCACCUGGGCUGACUCACUGCAGUGAUUAUGUAGUCUUGAUGUGGACUGGCAUCUUUCCCUGGAGUUUGAGUAUCUCCCUCGGCAGCUUCUCAUGGCCAGAAGCUCCAUUUCUGUGUCUUUCUAUUCCAAAGCCCAGACUCCAGUCUAGGCCACCCACCAAGUUCCUCGCUCCAGUCUUAAGAAUGCCUCCAGCUCCUGGCACCUUUGCAGAACUGAGCUGACUGACAUGUGCCAAGCACGGGUUGCCAGUCUCGUGUAGUUUUCCAGGUACACCUUGGCGAUUUGAUAGGAAGGUAUCCCGAACAAAGCGAUAGUAGUCUCUGAGAAUUGUGCUCUCCCAAUGUCUAAAGUCUUUUAGCCUUUCAGGGACAGAGAUACAACUCCAACCAAGAAAAAGGUCUUCCUUUUUUAAUACCCUACCUCCCUUUGAAAUUUAACUGAGAUUGCGCUUGAUGUUUUGGAUGUUAGAUGUUUUUGGAAGGGGAAAGGAAGCCCCUUGAUGGAAUAGAUCUUUUAAAGGGUAAUUCUCAAGCAGGUUAAUUAGAUUUCAUUCUAUCAUCACAUUUCUACUGACAGUGAUCCCCCCCUCCCCUUUCCUGUCUUGGGACAUGGAGAUUGUUCUGGAGAAGCCACAUGCCUAGAGUAAUUAUUGGGUGAGGCACAACAUACUGCAUUAGCUAGGGAAGGCUCCCUAGGGAGCAACACAUGCAUAUGGUGAAAACAUGCAGGACAUAGUGGUGCUGAAGGCUUCCAAGUCUGUGAGUCUGUGUGCUGAAGCUGUUUGCAGCUUCUUCUGACUUCGUGCUGCUGAGAGCUGCACAGCCCUCGGUCAGCGACAGAUUUCUUCCCCUGUGGCCUGCUGUGACUUUCAGGUCUUUCAUUAUUUUAGUCAUGCUGCUUCUUUGUGGUUCCCUGAAGAAGGAGCUGAGGCUACCAGUCUAAGCUUUACCUUUGCUUAGAGCUCAAGAGUUGGGACAAGAAGCAGAAAAUAAAAUCUCUUUCCACAUACUUGUCUGCUUGAUUGGGAUUCUUAUGGGCAAACCCAGAAAGCCACAAAGUCCCUGAAAAAAGUGAUAUUUAGAAAUACGAAUAUUGAUAUGCCAUGAAAAAAAAUAUUGUACAUGUUAGGUAAAAAGGGGGAAUGAAAUAUAUAUUUAUGUAAUUGUACUUGUGUUAAAAAUAUAACAUGGGCAGGGUCUAAAAGAAACCAUUAAAGGGGAUUGCCUACAGCAUUUGGGGAUAAUGGUAUGAGGAAGAAUGGGGUGUAUAUAUGUGUGUGUGUGUGUGUGUGUGUGUGUGUGUUUUCAUCACCUUGAUUUCUCAAACUUAGUAUAUAUCACCUUUUAAAAAAUAAGAUGAAAACAGGAAACCAAAGUCCAGGUGGUAUUACAGCAUGUGUCAGUGGUGUAUGUCUUCUCAGGGUACAUGAAACCUACUCACCAGCCUAGGAUGUUCCAGCCACUCUGAUAGAAGCUGCCUCAUUUAGAGCACCAUUUCCAUGCCAGUCUUCCACUGCAUUUGGUGGAGUUCAGCUUUUACAGUUCUAAAGUAUGUCGCACAUAGCAAGUCAGUCACUUGAGGAGGCAUCAGCUGUGUGAGUCCUUGGAUGCUUUCUGCUAUAAUGGAGGCCAGGGACCAGAGUCAGUACUCACACCUUGCAGCACACUGACCAGCUGUUCCAGCAAAUCAGGUUUGGAAACUGAUACCCAGAAAAACAAAACGUGGUUUUCCCAAAUACAUUAUCAUCAUCUCCAUUAUCACCAUAGCAGCACCUACUGUAUAGUGCUUGCCUAGUGCCAAAUAUUGAUCUAGGCACUUUCCAUGUGUCAGGGGAAACUCAUGUAAUCUUUAGAACAACCCUGAAGUGGUUCCUGUCAUCCCCAUCUUACAGGUGAAGCAGAAGCACAGAGAGGUCACAUGGUGGUAAGUGGCUGGGAUUGGAACCUUAGCAGUCUGACUCCAGCAUCAUCAUUGUGACAAUGAUGCUAUACAUACACUUUGAGAAAUAAAUAAAAUUGGGCUCAGAAGAUG